GACGAACGCUGGCGGCGUGCCUAAUACAUGCAAGUCGAACGAGAGCGACCGGUGCUUGCACUGGUCAAUCUAGUGGCGAACGGGUGAGUAACACGUGGGUAACCUGCCCAUCAGAGGGGGAUAACAUCCGGAAACGGAUGCUAAAACCGCAUAGGUCUUCGAACCGCAUGGUUUGAAGAGGAAAAGAGGCGCAAGCUUCUGCUGAUGGAUGGACCCGCGGUGCAUUAGCUAGUUGGUGAGGUAACGGCUCACCAAGGCCGUGAUGCAUAGCCGACCUGAGAGGGUGAUCGGCCACAUUGGGACUGAGACACGGCCCAAACUCCUACGGGAGGCAGCAGUAGGGAAUCUUCCGCAAUGGACGCAAGUCUGACGGAGCAACGCCGCGUGAGUGAAGAAGGUUUUCGGAUCGUAAAACUCUGUUGUUAGAGAAGAACAAGUGCUAGAGUAACUGUUAGCGCCUUGACGGUAUCUAACCAGAAAGCCACGGCUAACUACG
rnacentral:rRNA from 1 species